UAGAUUGUGCAUGGAUAGUAAGGGUAUAGAUUUUCUUAUAUUUAUAUCCGUCUUAUCAGUUUUCUCUCUGACAGGAAGAGGGUAACAUUAGCAGCACACCCUCAGUCAUUUCAGUUAGCUCAAGGUUGUUACCUCUGCAGUCCAAAUUGGGAAAUCGGUAAACCCCGCCAUAAAAAGCAACACUCAUUGUAUUGUUUUUCUUUGCCAACAGCAGUGGCAUGAUUCCCUUUUUACGUCUUAAUUUAUUACGCAGUGAUCUGAAAUAAGUUUCAGGGAUGAUGGCGAAGUCGACACGAUAAUGCGAGAGCAAAGCGAGCGGCGGUCCUGGAAGCUCGUCAAAACAAUUACGGAGGCGCAGUUAGGUGCACCGGGUGACUUUGCAGCGAAUGGCUUUAACGGUGGAAAAGUGUGAGGCUUUAAUGCCCGCAAAUCAUGUGACAUGAUGUCGGUAAACUGCAGACAGCAGGCAAAUGUUUACCAACCCAGCCGGUCUGUGAGCCCUUCAUGCCAAAGGAUAGCGAAGGGACCAGAGAGGCAAAUUGACCAGAGAGGCAAAUUAUCUAACACUGCUGAGUCCAUCUUUCUGUGGACAGAGUGCUCGAUGCUGUUCGGGAGAGAGUUCAUAUUUCACUCGUGAGUGGAAGAGUGACCAAACCCGAUACCUGAAUUUCAUUUGGAGGAAAUGGGUUGUUUGGCAGAAGCCGCGACAAGCUGAGCGUCAAAUGGAGUUGACAGAUUUGUUGACAUCUUCACUCACGGUGUGCUCGCAUUAAACGCUCCUGACAGGGACUGCUGUUUUAUUUCUCGGCUGAUAUCUGAUGAAUUAUGAAACAGCCGUAGUUGCAUGUCAGCUCCAUGACACAUGGCGGUGAUGUCGGCCCCCUUGUCCUUUAUUGGCUGUAACGUAUUCUCUCUGUGCCAACUAUUGCGCUUGCUCGUGUCCACUGUGGAGCUGCAGCAUCACAGGAGAGGAGCGUCUGGGGAGCCGAAGACUUGGAACAGAUACCCUGAAACAAUAUUUCUUAUUCAUGCACACAGGACAAUGUUUGUUCAUAUUAAUAUAACCAUGAAUAGAAUGUGCUUCAGAUAUGUGCCUUUGGGUUGUUUGCUUUGGUUUCUUUCUUGCAUUUUCUCUGUGUUUUUUGAUUUUUUCUACCCCCUCCUUUAGUUAAGAAUUCCCUUGCAGUGAUGUCCAUAUGGUGGAAUCUCAUUGUGAAUUUUCAGGGUUUUGUAUAUAAAGUGGAUCACACUUGCUUGGAGCUCACCAAACACACUCCCUACCUGCUUAGCACAGACUUCUCAAAGCUUUGAUCAUCACACAAACAUGCGCACACACAGAGACUAAGGGUUUAGAAAGUAUCCCAAAAGCUUUUUAUUCAGUUUAACCAUUACACCUUGCGCAACCCAGCUUAAGGCCAGGAACACAUAGGAUGUUUUUUCUUUCCUUUUUUUUGGACUCAGCAACACUUUUUUUCUUGUUUUGUAAGGAUUUGUCCGACAUAUAUAACGAACCUACUGCAUUUCUAGAAAUAACCCUGUAAAUGGGCGCUAUCUCGGCACUUCUCCUGGCCUGGAUGUUCUCCCAAACCGGAAGUGAAGAAGCACCGGUUUUCUAACUUCAAAUUUCAAUAUAGUCUCCUGCAUCUAAAACCUCAAAUGAAAAUCAGGUUGUUUUACAUUGUUAACAUAUCCGUAUGAUGGGUUUUUUUAUGUGCUGGAAGAUGUAUCGAGAAUCAAACAAGCAUUUUCACCUUGAAAUUGUCUCAAAAACACUGAUUCAGUUUCAUACGCAACAAACAACAAAGGAACACUGUCUUGUAGUAUUUCCAACUGAUUUACUACAAUAGCACGCUGUGUACCAGGGUUCUAAUGUGAUAUCAUGGGAUUGUGAAUAAAUCGUAUGCCACUUCA